CUUCCGUAGGGGGGGCCUGCGGAGGGAUCAUUACUGAGUGAGGGCCUUCGGGCUCGACCUCCAACCCUUUGUGAACACAACUUGUUGCUUCGGGGGCGACCCUGCCGUUUCGACGGCGAGCGCCCCCGGAGGCCUUCAAACACUGCAUCUUUGCGUCGGAGUUUAAGUAAAUUAAACAAAACUUUCAACAACGGAUCUCUUGGUUCUGGCAUCGAUGAAGAACGCAGCGAAAUGCGAUAAGUAAUGUGAAUUGCAGAAUUCAGUGAAUCAUCGAAUCUUUGAACGCACAUUGCGCCCCUUGGUAUUCCGAGGGGCAUGCCUGUUCGAGCGUCAUUUCACCACUCAAGCCUCGCUUGGUAUUGGGCGCCGCGGUGUUCCGCGCGCCUCAAAGUCUCCGGCUGAGCUGUCCGUCUCUAAGCGUUGUGAUUUCAUUAAUCGCUUCGGAGCGCGGGCGGUCGCGGCCGUUAAAUCUUUCACAAGGUUGACCUCGGAUCAGGUAGGGAUACCCGCUGAACUUAAGCAUAUCAAAAAGCCGGAGGAAA
rnacentral:rRNA from 1 species